rnacentral:rRNA from 1 species
CCUACGGGAGGCAGCAGUUAGGAAUCUUGCGCAAUGGGCGAAAGCCUGACGCAGCAACGCCGCGUGAGGGAUGAAGGCUCUCGGGUUGUAAACCUCUUUCAGCAGGGACGAUUGUGACGGUACCUGCAGAAGAAGGACCGGCCAACUACGUGCCAGCAGCCGCGGUAAUACGUAGGGUCCGAGCGUUGUCCGGAUUUAUUGGGCGUAAAGAGCUCGUAGGCGGCUCAGUAAGUCAGAUGUGAAAACUCAGGGCUCAACCCGGAGACGCCAUCUGAUACUGCUGUGGCUUGAGUCUGGUAGGGGAUCACGGAAUUCCUGGUGUAGCGGUGAAAUGCGCAGAUAUCAGGAGGAACACCGAUGGCGAAGGCAGUGAUCUGGGCCAGUACUGACGCUGAGGAGCGAAAGCGUGGGUAGCAAACAGGAUUAGAUACCCUGGUAGU